rnacentral:rRNA from 1 species
UCUUCCCUCUUUCUUCGUGCUUAACACAUGCAAGUCGAACGGUGACGGCGGGGAUUGUUGUGGUGGAGCAAUGGCGAACGGAUGAGUAACCCGUGAGUAGUCUGCCCCUGACUCUGGGAAAAGCGCAUGAAACGGGUGCUAAUACUGAAUACGAGCAGCGACUGCAAAUUAGCUCGCUGGAAAGUAUGUCGGUUAGGGAUGAACUGGCGACCUAUCAGCUUAUUGGUGAGGUAAUGGCUAACAAAAGCGUCGCCGGGUAGCCUGCCUGAGAGGGUGACCGGCCACACUGGGACGGAGAUACGGCCCAGACUACUCCGGGAGGCAGCAGUGGAGAAUAGUGCACAAUGGGCUGAAGCCUGACGCAGCAACGCAGUGUGAGGGAAGACGGCCUUCGGGUUGUAACCCUCUUUUAGCUGGGAAGAAGCGAAAGUGACGGUACUUGCUGAAAAAGCACCGGCUAACUCCGUG